rnacentral:rRNA from 1 species
GAUGAACGCUGGCGGCGUGCCUAAUACAUGCAAGUCGAGCGAACAGACUUGGAGCUUGUUCCUCUUACGUUAGCGGCGGACGGGUGAGUAACGCGUGGAUAACCUACCUAUAAGACUGGGAUAACUUCGGGAAACCAGUGCUAAUACCGCAUAAUAUAUUUAACCGCAUGUUUCAAUAGUGAAAGAUGCUUUUGCUGUACUUAAUAGUUGUAGCCGGGCCUCAUUAGCUAGUUGGUAAGGUAACGGCAUACCAAGGCAACGUUGCGUAGCCGACCUGAGAGGGUGAUCGGCCACACUGGAACUGAGACACGGUCCAGACUCCUACGGGAGGCAGAAGUAGGGAAUAUUGGGCAAUGGGCGAAAGCUUGACGGAGAAACGCCGCGUGAGUGAUAAAGGUCUUCGGAUCGUAAAACCCUGUUAUUGGGAAAGAAAAAAUGGGGAAUUAAAUACGCACGUAGUGACGGUACCUAAUCAGAAAGCCACGGCUAACUACGUG